rnacentral:lncRNA from 1 species
CUGAGUAAACCUGGGCAGCUAGUGAAUGUUCCCAUUUACGUAGGCCAGCUAACAUUUUAACAUUUUGAGCAGAGGACUAGCAGAUAUAGAGCCUUAACUCUCCUCUCACAAAUUAAUUUCUAAAGUAAGGAAAUUCUGAGAAUAUGCCAGGCAAGCAUUUGGGGACAGGAAGUCCUUUAAAUCUCAAGAUCCUCAUUCUGCACUCUGGAAAACAUCCACAGUCCUAGCUCAACCAAGAAGGACAAGUAUUGUUAUAUACCCAUUCUGCUGAUGAAGAAACCAAGACUCAGAGUUUACUUAACCAAGGUAGCACAUCUAACAUCAGGACUAAAAUUGGAUUCCAGCUCUAGCUAACCC